UACGUAGAGGGCUAGCGUUGUCCGGAAUCAUUGGGCGUAAAGGGCUCGUAGGCGGUUUGUCACGUCGGGAGUGAAAACUCGGGGCUUAACCCCGAGCCUGCUUCCGAUACGGGCUGACUAGAGGUAUGCAGGGGAGAACGGAAUUCCUGGUGUAGCGGUGAAAUGCGCAGAUAUCAGGAGGAACACCGGUGGCGAAGGCGGUUCUCUGGGCAUUACCUGACGCUGAGGAGCGAAAGUGUGGGGAGCGAACAGG
rnacentral:rRNA from 1 species